rnacentral:rRNA from 1 species
CCUACGGGAGGCUGCAGUGGGGAAUCUUGGGCAAUGGGGGCAACCCUGACCCAGCAACGCCGCGUGAAGGAAGAAGGCCUUCGGGUUGUAAACUUCUUUAGACAGGGAAGAAGGAAGUGACUUACCUGUAGAAUAAGCCACGGCUAACUACGUGCCAGCAGCCGCGGUAAUACGUAGGUGGCGAGCGUUAUCCGGAUUUACUGGGUGUAAAGGGCGUGUAGGCGGUAAUUUAAGUUAGAUGUGAAAUCUCUCGGCUCAACUGGGAGCGUGCAUCUAAAACUGGGUUACUUGAGUGCUGGAGGGGAAAGCGGAAUUCCUAGUGUAGCGGUAAAAUGCGUAGAUAUUAGGAGGAACACCGGUGGCGAAGGCGGCUUUCUGGACAGUAACUGACGCUGAGGCGCGAAAGCGUGGGGAGCAAACAGGAUUAGAUACCCCUGUAGUC